rnacentral:rRNA from 1 species
UACAGAGGGGGCAAGCGUUGUUCGGAAUUACUGGGCGUAAAGGGCGCGUAGGCGGCCAACUAAGUCGGACGUGAAAUCCCCGGGCUCAACCCGGGAACUGCGUCCGAUACUGGAUGGCUUGAAUCCGGGAGAGGGAUGUGGAAUUCCAGGUGUAGCGGUGAAAUGCGUAGAUAUCUGGAGGAACACCGGUGGCGAAGGCGGCAUCCUGGACCGGUAUUGACGCUGAUGCGCGAAAGCCAGGGGAGCAAACGGG